UAGAAAGUCCAAAUAUACAUAAUAUAAACACAAUAUAAAUAUAGGGAUAUUUUAUAACUAUGCAAACUAUAGGAGAAAAAAUAUGGAGUUUUUAAAAUAUAUAUAUAUGUAUAUAUAUAUAUAUAUUUGGCCAGGCUAUAUGGCAUGUGGGGUCUUAGUUCCCUGACCAGGAAUUGAACCUGUUUCCCCCUACCUUGGAAGCGCAGAGUCUUAUUAACCAUUGGACCACCAGGGAAGUUCUGGUACAGGUUUUUUUCAGCAUAAUGUUUGCACCAUGCACACUGUUCUGUUUUUUGUUUUUUUUUGUUUUUUUACCUUUUUUGACUUAAGCCUGUAUCCUCAAAAACCUUUCUUGUCACGACAUAGGGAGUAGUCCUAUUCUUUUUAGUGUGUGCAUGCUCAGUCUCUUCUGUCCUGUCUGACUCUUUGCAGCUCUAUGGAUUGUAGCCCGACAGGCUCCCCUGUCCGUGAGAUUGUCCAGUGAAUUACUAUCUAUAAAUAGCAUUUUCUAUGUCAGCGAGGCUCUCUGGAGGAGAAAUUGCUACAGUGGAAUUGUUGGAUCAGAAGAAUGUGCAGUUUUAAUUUUGGUAAACCUUGCCAAAUUGCCCUCAGAUUUGGCAUCUGUACUAAUGCAUGCUCCCACUAACACCGUGGGCUUGUGCCUUUUCUCCACAGACAGUGUUACUAAACUGCAUGAUCUUUGCCAAUCUAAGAGGUGCAAACUACUAUCUUUUAGUAGCUUUAAUAUAGAGUUUUGCUUGUUCUCACAAGCAAAUGAUCGAAUGUCUUUUCAUAUGUUUAAGAGCCAGUCCUAUAUUCUUUUCUGAGAAAUGUGUAUUGACUUUUAUUGCCCAUUUUUCCCUAGAUUUUUGGUCUUUUCCAGCUAAUUCAUUUUUAGGAGCACAAAGUAACUGAAAAAAACUAGUCCUUUUGUCCUGAGUUUUUUAAUUUUUCCGUUUAUUUUUGGACUUCUUAGGCUUCUUUUUUUCCCUGCAGGAUUUGUUUUUAAAAUUACGUAGCCUUAC
ensembl:lncRNA